UACGUAGGGGGCGAGCGUUGUCCGGCGUUACUGGGCGUAAAGCGCACGCAGGCGGUCUGCUAAGUUUGGAGUGACAGUUGGUGGCUUAACUGCCAAAGUGCUUCGAAAACUGACAGACUUGAGGGCUUCAGAGGGACACGGAAUUCCGGGUGGAGUGGUGAAAUGCGUAGAGAUCCGGAGGAACACCAAAGGCGAAGGCAGUGUCCUGGGGAGUACCUGACGCUCAGGUGCGAAAGCCAGGGGAGCGAACGGG
rnacentral:rRNA from 1 species